AGGUAAGCUACUAAGAGCGAAUGGUGGAUGCCUUGACUGGUAAAGGCGAUGAAGGACGUACUAGACUGCGAUAAGCUACGGGGAGCUGUCAAGAAGCUUUGAUCCGUAGAUUUCCGAAUGGGGCAACCCAAUGUAUAGAGAUAUACAUUACCUAUAUAGGAGCGAACGAGGGGAAUUGAAACAUCUUAGUACCCUCAGGAAAAGAAAUCAAUAGAGAUUGCGUCAGUAGCGGCGAGCGAAAGCGCAAGAGGGCAAACCCAGUGCUUGCACUGGGGGUUGUAGGACUGCAAUGUGCAAGAGCUGAGUUUAGCAGAACAUUCUGGAAAGUAUAGCCAUAGAGGGUGAUAGUCCCGUAUGCGAAAAACAAAGCUUAGCUAGCAGUAUCCUGAGUAGGGCGGGACACGAGGAAUCCUGUCUGAAUCCGGGUCGACCACGAUCCAACCCUAAAUACUAAUACCAGAUCGAUAGUGCACAAGUACCGUGAGGGAAAGGUGAAAAGAACUGAGGUGAUCAGAGUGAAAUAGAACCUGAAACCAUUUGCUUACAAUCAUUCAGAGCACUAUGUAGCAAUACAGUGUGAUGGACUGCCUUUUGCAUAAUGAGCCUGCGAGUUGUGGUGUCUGGCAAGGUUAAGCAAACGCGAAGCCGUAGCGAAAGCGAGUCUGAAUAGGGCGCUUAGUCAGAUGCUGCAGACCCGAAACGAAGUGAUCUAUCCAUGAGCAAGUUGAAGCUAGUGUAAGAACUAGUGGAGGACUGAACCCAUAGGCGUUGAAAAGCCCCGGGAUGACUUGUGGAUAGGGGUGAAAGGCCAAUCAAACUUCGUGAUAGCUGGUUCUCUCCGAAAUAUAUUUAGGUAUAGCGUUGUGUCGUAAUAUAAGGGGGUAGAGCACUGAAUGGGCUAGGGCAUACACCAAUGUACCAAACCCUAUCAAACUCCGAAUACCUUAUAUGUAAUCACAGCAGUCAGGCGGCGAGUGAUAAAAUCCGUCGUCAAGAGGGAAACAACCCAGACUACCAGCUAAGGUCCCUAAAUCUUACUUAAGUGGAAAACGAUGUGAAGUUACUUAAACAACCAGGAGGUUGGCUUAGAAGCAGCCAUCCUUUAAAGAAAGCGUAAUAGCUCACUGGUCUAGUGAUUUUGCGCGGAAAAUAUAACGGGGCUAAAGUAAGUACCGAAGCUGUAGACUUGCGCACAACUUAGAUUAUUUAAGUUUAGAAUAUGAGAAACUAAGUUAUGUUUAGUUAUAUUUUUACUGAUUUUUAUAGAGUAAAGAUAGAAAUAAAACUUAGUAAAAUCAGUAAAAAUAUUCUUAGGCUAAAGUUAAGUAGUUUAAGUUGUGUGCAAGUGGUAGGAGAGCGUUCUAUUUGCGUCGAAGGUAUACCGGUAAGGAGUGCUGGAGCGAAUAGAAGUGAGCAUGCAGGCAUGAGUAGCGAUAAUUAAUGUGAGAAUCAUUAACGCCGUAAACCCAAGGUUUCCUACGCGAUGCUCGUCAUCGUAGGGUUAGUCGGGUCCUAAGUCGAGUCCGAAAGGGGUAGACGAUGGCAAAUUGGUUAAUAUUCCAAUACCAACAUUAGUGUGCGAUGGAAGGACGCUUAGGGCUAAGGGGGCUAGCGGAUGGAAGUGCUAGUCUAAGGUCGUAGGAGGUUAUACAGGCAAAUCCGUAUAACAAUACUCCGAGAACUGAAAGGCUUUUUGAAGUCUUCGGAUGGAUAGAAGAACCCCUGAUGCCGUCGAGCCAAGAAAAGUUUCUAAGUUUAGCUAAUGUUGCCCGUACCGUAAACCGACACAGGUGGGUGGGAUGAGUAUUCUAAGGCGCGUGGAAGAACUCUCUUUAAGGAACUCUGCAAAAUAGCACCGUAUCUUCGGUAU
rnacentral:rRNA from 1 species